GAUCUGACGUUACCUAAAGAAUCAGCACCGGCUAACUCUGUGCCAGCAGCCGCGGUAAUACAGAGGGUGCAAGCGUUAAUCGGAAUUACUGGGCGUAAAGGGUCUGUAGGCGGAUUAUUAAGUCGGAUGUGAAAUCCCCGGGCUCAACCUGGGAACGGCAUUCGAUACUGGUAGUCUAGAGUGUGCAAGAGGAUGGGGGAAUUCCUGGUGUAGCAGUGAAAUGCGUAGAGAUCAGGAGGAACAUCAAUGGCGAAGGCACCUUUCUGGGGCAACACUGACGCUGAGAGACGAAAGCGUGGGGAGCAAACAGGAUUAGAUACCCUGGUAGUCCACGCCCUAAACGAUGUCAACUAACUGUUCGGAGUCACUAAGAUUCUGAGUAGUGAAGCUAACGCGAUAAGUUGACCGCCUGGGGAGUACGGCCGCAAGGUUGAAACUCAAAGAAAUUGACGGGGGCCCGCACAAGCGGUGGAGUAUGUGGUUUAAUUCGAUGCAACGCGAAGAACCUUACCCGGUCUUGACAUGGUAGGAAUCUUGUAGAGAUACGAGAGUGCCUUCGGGAACCUACACACAGGUGCUGCACGGCUGUCGUCAGCUCGUGUCGUG
rnacentral:rRNA from 1 species